UAAUUUUUGUAUUUUUAGUAGAAACGGGGUUUCACCAUGUUGGCCAGGCUGGUCUCGAACUCCUGACCUCAGGUUAUCUGCCCUCGCUGGCCUCCCAAAAUGCUGGAAUUACAGGCGUGAGCCACCGAGCCCAGGCUUGAGGCUCAUUUUCAAAUGGAGAAGGGUAAUGAACUAGGAUUUAUGCUCCAAAUUCAUAUGGAAGAUUUAAUUAUGUAUGUUAAAGGGUGCUGUUGUUUGCGUAUGUAGCCAUUGGUUUUUGGUUUUAACCUAUGGUUUGCAUGUUGAUGUUACUUUUAGAUGCUGGCAAGUCAACCAUUGGAGGACAAAUAAUGUAUUUGACUGGAAUGGUUGACAAAAGGACACUUGAAAAGUAUGAAAGAGAAGCUAAAGAGAAAAACAGAGAAACUUGGUAUAGUAAACUUUUAUGACACUUAUAAAUUACUUUUAAGGAGACGAUGCCCACUUAGUGCUUUUGGAGCCUGUUAAAAUAUAAAUUGUUGAAGUCUAAAAUCGUAUCACAACAAAGGAAAUUUCCCCUCUCCUCAUAAUACACAGUAGAUGAGUUCCUAAUGCUUUAAUAACUUACACAGAGAAAUUUGGAAACAAUGCAUAUAUCUGGUGAUAGACUUGUUGAAAAUAUUAUAAACCAUCCAUUUAAUUGGGUGAUUUUGCAACCAC
rnacentral:sRNA from 1 species